AUGGGGUAAAAUUAUUUUUGAGAUUUAAUUGAAAUUGAAUUUUGGGAAAAAAAGGUGAAAAUUUAGAUUCUGGGGGUAUUUUUGAAAAGAAAAUCAAAAACUGGAGGUCAAAACGCAAUUUAAAAAAAUAGCAUCAUGUCAGCAGUCGCGUCAGCAGCCCGGUCAGUAGCCCCGGCCAAACAGGACACGCCGCGCGGUAAGGACACUGACGCGGGAAGCCACGCGGGACGGAGACACGUGGGCGAUCCGCGUGCGUGCGAUCGGACGGCCCAGAUCUGUUCCCGCACGCACGGACGGCCCAGAUCAAAGGCGCGCGUGGACGACCCAGAACUCACACGUGCGAACGGUCCAGAUUUGAUCGUGUACGGACGGUCCAGAUCGCAUCGCGAUGGACGGUCCAGAUUUAUUUUUAAUUU
rnacentral:lncRNA from 1 species